rnacentral:rRNA from 1 species
UACGUAGGGUGCAAGCGUUAUCCGGAAUUAUUGGGCGUAAAGAGCUCGUAGGCGGUUUGUCGCGUCUGCUGUGAAAACCGGAGGCUCAACCUCCGGCCUGCAGUGGGUACGGGCAAACUAGAGUGCGGUAGGGGAGAUUGGAAUUCCCGGUGUAGCGGUGAAAUGCGCAGAUAUCGGGAGGAACACCAAUGGCGAAGGCAGCUCGCUGGGACGGUACUGACGCUGAGACGCGAAAGCGUGGGGAGCAAACAGG